UACGUAGGUGGCAAGCGUUGUCCGGAAUUAUUGGGCGUAAAGCGCGCGCAGGUGGUUUCUUAAGUCUGAUGUGAAAGCCCACGGCUCAACCGUGGAGGGUCAUUGGAAACUGGGGAACUUGAGUGCAGGAGAGAAGAGUGGAAUUCCACGUGUAGCGGUGAAAUGCGUAGAGAUCGGCAGGAAGACCAAGGGGGAAGCCAGGCACCUGGGCCCGUACUGACACUCAUGGACGACCGCGUGGGGAGCGAACCGG
rnacentral:rRNA from 1 species